CUGGCGGCGUGCUUAACACAUGCAAGUCGAACGAGACGAUUUUAGAAGCUUGCUUUUAUUGAGUCGAGUGGCAAACGGGUGAGUAACGCGUAGACAACCUGCCGCAAAGAUGGGGACAACAGUCCGAAAGGACUGCUAAUACCGAAUGUUGUAUCUCCUCCGCAUGGAAGAGAUAUUAAAGAUGGCCUCUACUUGUAAGCUAUCGCUUUGCGAUGGGUCUGCGUCUGAUUAGCUAGUUGGUGGGGCAACGGCCUACCAAGGCGACGAUCAGUAGCCGGUCUGAGAGGAUGAACGGCCACAUUGGAACUGAGACACGGUCCAGACUCCUACGGGAGGCAGCAGUGGGGAAUCUUCCGCAAUGGGCGAAAGCCUGACGGAGCAACGCCGCGUGAGUGAAGAAGGCCUUCGGGUCGUAAAGCUCUGUUGUCGGGGACGAAUGUUGAGGCCUAGAACAUAGGUUUCAAAUGACGGUACCUGACGAGGAAGCCACGGCUAACUACGUG
rnacentral:rRNA from 1 species